AGGGCACCACCAGGAGUGGAGCCUGCGGCUUAAUUUGACUCAACACGGGAAAACUUACCCGGCCCGGACACUGGAAGGAUUGACAGACUGAGAGCUCUUUCUUGAUUCAGUGGGUGGUGGUGCAUGGCCGUUCUUAGUUGGUGGAGCGAUUUGUCUGGUUAAUUCCGAUAACGAACGAGACUCUAGCCUACUAAAUAGACCAGUGGCUUGCUUAACGCUGCUGGGACUUCUUAGAGGGACAGGCGGUGAUUCAACCGCACGAAACAGAGUAAUAACAGGUCUGUGAUGCCCUUAGAUGUCCGGGGCCGCACGCGCGCUACACUGAAGUGAUCAGCGUGCUUUUCAAACCCUGCUCUGCCAAGAGUGGGAAACCCAAUGAACCUACUUCGUGAUUGGGAUAAAGGAUUGUAAUUAUUCCUUUUGAACGAGGAAUUCCCAGUAAGCGCGAGUCAUAAGCUCGCGUUGAUUACGUCCCUGCCCUUUGUACACACCGCCCGUCGCUACUACCGAUUGAAUGAU
rnacentral:rRNA from 1 species